UACGGAGGGUGCAAACGUUACUCGGAAUCAUUGGGCGUAAAGCGCACGUAGGCGGCUCGUUAAGUCGGAUGUGAAAGCCCUGGGCUCAACCCAGGAAGUGCAUUCGAAACUGGCGAGCUUGAAUAUGGAAGAGGGUCGCGGAAUUCCCGGUGUAGAGGUGAAAUUCGUAGAUAUCGGGAGGAACACCAGUGGCGAAGGCGGCGACCUGGGCCAAUAUUGACGCUGAGGUGCGAAAGCGUGGGGAGCAAACAGG
rnacentral:rRNA from 1 species